rnacentral:rRNA from 1 species
CAGUCGCCACGGGAAUACGUAGGGCGCAAGCGUUAUCCGGAAUUAUUGGGCGUAAAGAGCUCGUAGGCGGUUUGUCGCGUCUGCCGUGAAAGUCCGGGGCUCAACCCCGGAUCUGCGGUGGGUACGGGCAGACUAGAGUGAUGUAGGGGAGACUGGAAUUCCUGGUGUAGCGGUGAAAUGCGCAGAUAUCAGGAGGAACACCGAUGGCGAAGGCAGGUCUCUGGGCAUUAACUGACGCUGAGGAGCGAAAGCAUGGGGAGCGAACAGGAUUAGAUACCGCGUAGUCCCUGUCUCUUAUACA